CUGCUCAAUGAAUAUUUUUAAAUAGCUGCAGUAUAAAUAACUGUACAAAGGUAGCAUAAUAAUUUGUUUUUUAAUUAAAAACUAGCAUGAAUGAUUUAAUGAAAUAUAAACUGUAUCAAAUUUAAAAAAUAAAUUUAUUAUUUAAAUAAAAAAAUUUAAAUAAUUUUUAAAGACGAGAAGACCCUAUGAAUUUUAAUAAUAAAUUAUAUAAAUUUAAUAUAAUUUAUUAUAUUAAUUGGGGAAAUUUUAAAAUUUUAAAAAUUUUUAAUUAAAAAAACAUUAAUUUUUGAAUAUUUAAUAUUUUUUAAAAAAAUAAAUUAAUUACCUUAGGGAUAACAGCAUAAUUUUUUUAAAAAG
rnacentral:rRNA from 1 species